ensembl:lncRNA
UAAAUAGAAAGAGGCAUCAGUUUACCGUCUGUGAUUUGUUGUGUCGUGCCGUGCCACAUCCAGUGUAGAGAGCAUUACUGAUUAUAAUAGGCUCUGUUGUAUUUUGUUGUGCCGUCCAGUGUAGACACAGUGUUAGACCUCUUAUUAAAUAUCAUUACAUAUGAUUCAUGUAUGAUGCCAUUCAUCACUGAUAGAUCUUUUCUAUUUCAUCGAUAAACCACAAGGUAACUGUAACAUAUUUAAACAAUAUUAAUACGAAUAAAUAAAAAUGCAUCUGUGACUUACUGUAAUAUUGCAUCUUAUUUUUCAGUGGGUUGAAAGUUCUCAUUAAACACAUAGCUUUAUUCUCAUCUCUGUGCAUUUUCAGACGUUGUGCAUAUUUCUGAAUCAAAUUUUUUUUUAUCUUUUUAACAUCAUAAUAUUGGUUGUCUUCUCUUUUUUCAGAGUUUAGCUCCAACCCCAGUUAAGCAGAUCUGGGCAGCUGAUCAAGGAUCACCAGAAACUCUGCAGAACAUUGGUCCUCCAGCCCAGGACUGGACACCAGUGUUGUAAGUCAUUAAUCUAGAAGUCAUCCUGCCUCUUUGAAGUGUCAUGUUCAGAAUAUAUUACAGGAGAUCUCUCAUUGUCUCUUAAGGUCCACUUACAUGCAGAGUUUUGCUCCAACCUGCAGUGCACCUGAACACAUUAAUCAAGGUCUUCAGUUUUACCAACUAUUAGUGUUGUCACGGUACCAAAAUUUCAGUACCAAAGCAAAACACAAAAACAUGCUAAUUAAUUUUUUAUUAUUAUUAUUAUUAUUAGCUGCACUUAUACUAACAAUAAACACUUAUACUAACAAUUAACUAACAAAACAGCGUUCAUUUCAAUCCGACAUUCAAAUGUUUAUCAGGAUAUAUAUACACAAUUAUAUAUAUCCUGAUAAACAUACACAGAAUGACAGUCAAUCACUGAUCUUUAUUGAACUGCUUUUAUAGUUUUGAUGCACAUCAGCCAUGUUGGAAGCAUUUAAGGAGGAGAUAAAACGGCAGGAGAAAGUGGAGAACAUCGGAAUCUUGAUGGUAGUAGCACAUUCAAUAUAUAGUGACGUGACAUACAGCGCGCGCGCUUCCACAGCUGACACGCCGCGCACACAGACAAGAAAGGAAAUAUAUUUUUCGGAGUUGUGAAACCUAUUUCGUAAGGAGUUAUGAACGUGAAAUAAUGACACAGACUGGCUACACGAUCUCAUCUGCCGCAGAUACUGUAUCAGAAGGACAGCGCGUUUGUUUGAGGCACUUUUCACUUCAACUGUGUCUGACAGGAGAAUUAGCUUUUCUGAAGUGAGUCUUACAACUUGUAAUAAAUAAGUUGAUAAAAUGUAAAAAACA